rnacentral:rRNA from 1 species
GAUGAACGCUGGCGGCGUGCCUAAUACAUGCAAGUCGAGCGAACGGACGAGAAGCUUGCUUCUCUGAUGUUAGCGGCGGACGGGUGAGUAACACGUGGAUAACCUACCUAUAAGACUGGGAUAACUUCGGGAAACCGGAGCUAAUACCGGAUGAUAUUUUGAACCGCAUGGUUCAAAAGUGAAAGACGGUCUUGCUGUCACUUAUAGAUGGAUCCGCGCUGCAUUAGCUAGUUGGUAAGGUAACGGCUUACCAAGGCAACGAUGCAUAGCCGACCUGAGAGGGUGAUCGGCCACACUGGAACUGGGACACGGUCCAGACUCCUACGGGAGGCAGCAGUAGGGACUCUUCCGAGAUGGGCGAAAGCCUGACGGAGCAACGCCGCGUGGGUGAUGAAGGUCUUCGGAUCGUAAAACUCUGUUAUUAGUGAAGAACAUAUGUGUAAGUAACUGUGCACAUCGUGACGGUACCUAAUCAGAAAGCCACGGCUAACUACGUG